ACGUGCUGCAUCUACCCCUAAUUUCGUUCAUCGCCCCAUAGAAAUUCCCCUUGAAUCUCUAGCCCACCAAACAUAUGUCGGAGAUCUCGUCCCCUUUUCGGUACAAUGACACCAUGGAAUUUCGUGCAGACGAUUGGUUAGUCGUUCGUCCAAUGAAACACGCUGGCAGAACUUUAUGGGGGUUGACACGCGUCCUGUUUUCCCUGGGGUGGAUUUCAUGGGAUUAGGCGGCGGCAACGUAAACGUAACGUCAUUAUGAUAACUUGUUUCUCUUCUUCGUUCCCUCCACUCUUUUUUUACAGAAGGAUUAUGUUGGAUUACAGGAUACGACUUUGCCACUUUUUUCUAGCUUCUCGUAAAACGUUAAACGUAGCAUAAUAAGCGUACAUUGAGGGUACUGUGGAAAUAGUGUUUUUCUUUUAAUAUUAAUGGUGUUACUUGAAAUUCAAUGGAAAGUUCGUAAUUUUUGAAGUUGUAUUUUUAAGAUUUACAUAAUGAAAUGUUAGUGUACGCAGAGGUAAGAGAGUAUGCCAGUUAUAGUGUCAGGUGAGCGACUAUGGAGUUGAUCGUUGGCUGCUUGUAAUUCUAGACAGGAAUUAAGCGGUGCAGCGGACAGCCACAGCUUCACCGUUGCAAGCGGUACUGUGGAAAGGACAACUUUGUAAUAUGAUUACGGCCAGAGAGAUUCAAUAUCGAAAUUAGGAAAACUGAAUUUUUAACCGUCCUAAUAUCUUCAUCCGUGACAAACUAUCGUAGCGAAUAAGAACAUCAGUGAAUACUGGUUCUUAUAAAAAAAAAACACAUUUUCAAAGGAAAAUGGAGCGAAUGCAACAUUUUAAAACAAAAAGUCACAUUACAAGACCUGCAAUAAUCCAAUAUUUAAAAUUAACGAAGAAGUAUACUCCAUUCAUUUUACUUACUAUUCACCACUGAAAUACCAUAUUUUCUAUGUUUUCGCUUAUCGUUGAACGGAAGUUAAGCGAUUGUACAAAAAUAACUGUACUUGUGAUUCUAUAACUCCAGGCCACAGUAAUUGUGCAAUACGACUAAUAUCCUGUUUAAAAAAUUGAAAUAUAUUAAAACAGAAAUUAGACACAUUAUGUCUUUUCCUGGGAAAAGACAAGCACGAACAAGCGUCGUUAUUGUUACGAGUCAUUUAAUUAUCAAAGAAGUACUUUCCAUCCAUCUCAAUUGCCAUGCACCGCUAAAAGAGCAAAUUCCAAAGGAAGAAUGAAAGAAAGUCAACGUCUUGAAAAAGGCGUUCACGCUGUGAGUCUGGUGUACGCACGAACAGCUGGAAUCUCCUCCAGUCACCAGCGGGAUCCAUUCAGAAUCACCAACGCGACAGCUGAAGGACGUUGUUUUCCUACGACAAAUUACGCGCGCGUUCGCCGCUUUCGACGCGCGGCGUCAACGCGUGUGCGUGUGAUCCUCCCGUGUUGUCUACACACACCAACACACACGUACGCACACCAUAACGCUGACCUACCCCACUGAGAAUCGUGUUUCAAUACAGAAACCGAAAACCAUAUCAUUACGUUGAAGCUCGUAGCAAACUUUCGUAGCAAAUGCGCGCGCGCAAUCGACUAACCUUUGCGAGGGCCAGUUAGCGCGUUUCACAGGUGUGUGUUAAUACACGUGAUAAUCAAGUACGCGUGCCACUAAGAAAACAUUUUUCUGUAGUAAGAUCGAUGGAGUGUUUGGAGUAAGAAUGACGGAGAGUUUAGAUGCGUACAUAUAGCAUAAGAUCGAAGGGGUGUUUGGAUGCGUGCAUAUGAUGUAAAUUGACUCUGCAUCUUGGAGGUUAUGUCGAUUGAAGUUAGUAGUUUAUCGGCCUCUGAUCGUCUUCAAAAAAUCACGUUUCGUGCUCGUAACCAACAAUUGCACAAUACGAUUUCGCGGUUUCAUUGCGGUGCUUACAGGUUGAGGAUUUUUCAAAGAAGUUGCGCUAUACUCCUUCUACUCUUACUCGACAUAUAAGUACCAUAUGUAGGUCACUCUAUUCUAUGCAGUUUUAUCAUAGAAAAUAUUGAAAUUUUUCAAGGUUUAACAAUAUAAUUCUAUUUAUAGAUAUAUAACGAGGAAUACCAAAUCAUUUAAAAUCAUUCUACCAUAUAUGUCCUUCAUUCAAGAAUUCUAUUCUAUUUUCUAUUAGGAAGCAUGUUAAAUUAACAGUGUUCCGGAUAAACUAUCAUUAACAAACAAAUAUUAUGUUUCUUUACUGUGAGGCUUACAACGGUUCCAGAUUAGUUCAGAUAUCCAUAAUUUUUAUUAUAAGGAUUAUAAUGUCGAUUAAUGGAAAUAGUUACAAAUCGGUUCAGGGUGAACAGUCUUCAUCAACUAGGAUGCCAUAGUGCGUAACUCUCUAACAUAAAAAUUAUAAUAUUAGUUGAUUGACGAAAACAAUUCCAAAUCGGUUAGGCCCGAGAAACGAGGAACGAACAAUUGGCGAAUGCGGGGCAAAAUUGACCACGUUGGUUACAUAAUGGGCCUCCUCGAGCUUCGUCAAAUGGUGGGCAGUACGAGUAUUUAGAUGAGUUGACUCCAAUUGGCGUACGUACCGUGAGAAUCCAGUAUCUAGCGCGUGGACCGUGUGUGAACCAGUCAGUCGAGGAAGAAAAAUGGGUGAACUAAUCAUGCAAAUUGGGUACAAAGUUACGUAAUUCUGUUCUAUCUCUAUCCACCCGUCCGUUGGAAUCUCGAACAUCAGACGUCCACUAAUAGUCGCUUGCAUUUGCAGCAAUUAACUAUUUCUUCAUCGAAAUUAGAUUGACGUUGACUCGCAAAUAUUUUGUAAUUGAAAUAUUGUUUUUGGUAUCUGUACUGGCUUCACUGCUAGUUCCUUGUCCCACUUCUGAAACUAGAUUAAUUGAUUCCACCACUAGGUAAUCAGUCUAAUUAUUCGAGCGUUAUAACUUUCUUGAAGCUGUUAAUAUUUAAUCGAGCAAUUAGAGAAUUAAAUUCGGCAAGAGAUAUAGCUAUUUCUGUACAUAUUACAGGAGAAAUCCACUUCUGAUUUUGCGGUAUAUAUAAACUUAGAAAUAUUAAGGAAUCAAAUCCUUGCAAAUUCUCAAACUUAAAUAAAUUAACGUCUUUAAAUGGAUUCAAUAAGUUAAAAACUAUUAAACCAGGUUAAUUUUAUUCGUAGGAUAACACAAUCACUAGCUUCAGUUCCAUCGGAAACUAUAGCUAGGGGUCAGAUUCUGAUUAGAUUUAAGCUAAAUAUUAUCCAGCUUUCAACUUUAACUUUUACAGCCAAGCAAUUGAUGCUGCUGUAUUGAGUUUGAUUCGAAUUACUUUUCACGACCCAAAUUUUUGUUAUUCAUAACGAAUACCUUAGAAGUUAAAAGCAAAAAUAGUCUGCUACACUGAACAAAUUUAUACUUGUUAUACAAGAACAAGAAAAAGGAUUUGGUUCAGGCUUGAAAUCGUAUUCGCAUUGACGCAAUAUUCAUUUCUCAAUUAAAAUUUUGGAAGCGACGACCAUCCUAAAACUCUUAUGCAAAGAUGCGCUGGAUGUGUAACGUCGAAAAAUGCUGGAAAAAUCAGACAGACGUGUAGGACCGUGGUCUGGCUCACGGGGCAGAUUUGAGUGAGGAACGGAAGAGGAGGUUCGGAACGAUUAUGCAGCACGACACGGUGCCCAACAAGGAGAGACAAGGAGAUGGAGAGAAAAAGAGAAGGAGUGCACGAUGCACACGCUGCGAGCAAUGUGCGAGGCUUCGCGCGGCCGUCAAUUACGAUUAAUUAGAGCGGAGACUGACAGCGGACGCAGCGACGGCUACUUAAUACUUUAACUUGUCCCCAACCCUCCACCCGUUCACUUCCUCCGUCGUCGUCGACGGUGACGAAUCGACCGAGAGCUCCGUUCGUUUCGUUCAUCGUAAACUAUCGUGUAUAUAUCCCUUUUUGCCUUUUUCUCCUCGAUGUUCCCUCCAUUCACGAAACGUGAGAUCUCUGUUACGUCCUUGUUCGCGGCAGGGAAAAAGUCACCAUCCAGGAAAUUCAAGCUUCUGGCUUGGGGCCACGCGUGCUCUCGUAAUAGGGCAGUUUGUUCCUUGUAAAAUCAUUCCUUUCCUUUUCUUGAAAUUCUAUUUCCAUUGCGUUCUUUCGGUUGUAAGAAAAAGUCUAAGGGAAUAAAAUACGGGGCUCAUUACAUAAAUAGAUAGAUAGAUAGUUUUAUUUCAGCCUGGCGGCCUUGAAACAAGACUUGGAUUACAAUUCCUCAGUUUAUUGCAGUAUUUAAAAGGCUAAAAUACACGUAGAAUACUCUUUGUUCGUUAACGAUCGCAGAAAGAUGCAAUUGCAGCUUUUUAACGUUGGAAAAUGUCUCGGGCUUGAACAAGAUAUGAAAAAUUUCUCACCGGAAUGCAGGAUCUUCUUAAUGUGCUCUUGAAACAUUAGCAAUCCCCUUUUUCGCUAAAAUUAUAAAGAUAAUACAGCAAUAUGAAAAUUCCAGCAUCGCAACAGUGUUAAAUUCGCUUCGAUAUUUGUAUUGUAUGAAAUGAAUUUUAAGAAUGUUUUUGGUAUUGUUUUUUGUACCAGGUAUAAAUAAUUGGAAGGUUUGUGGUACUCGAAAUUAAAAUCUAAUUUUGGAGAUUGGUUUAUUAGUGUCCUGAUAGGAAUAUUUUUUGCUAUAGGAUUGACUUUUUAGAGAGUGAGAGAUACUUCAUGCCAAUGAAUUAGUACUUUUUGGCUAUAAAAGUAGAUGUUGAUACAAUGGAAGAUCACUCAUCUGAAUCUAAUUGUUGCGUUAGACAUUGAACAUAGGAGAAUAAUUUUAUUAUAUUAUAUAAGAGUUCACGUUCAUAUUAGUAGAUUCAAUCAGCAGGUGUUUAGUUACUCGAGUAUUAAAUAAAAUCUUGUUCCAGUAAAACGAAUUCUACUUUAUACACGUAAUCUAAAUCUACUCUUACUAAUUAAUACUUAUCUAUGAAAUGUAGAAUUCAUAUUUACAGUUACGGGAUAACGUGUAAAAGUAGUUAUCGAAAUGAAAUAUUAACACCAUAAGAUAAACUAUCAAAGCACCCCAAUCUGUCGUUAUAUUGACGAAGGAAGUGAGAAUUAAUGACAAUUAGUUAGUAGAAACAUCAGAGUCUCUCGACUUUGAGCAUUCAACAAGUCGAAUCUAAUAACAAGUUGUCGGUGUACACACUUCGUAACAACCGUAAUUAAUUAUAUAAUAUCGUGAUCUACGUUAGAAAGAGAGAACUCGCUGCAUUAUUAAACAGCAACAAUUAAAACGAAGAAUUAAUUCAGAAUAUUGCGGAUGCGCCGUUUCACGGUUUCAGGCAUACGUUCGUUACGCAUCGCAUCGACUUUAUAUUAAUAAGUAUGAUGUUCUGCUCGUUUGUAAGACGUAAAAUCAUUAAUCAAAGCUACAAUUAUAUACACGUUGGCACCAUUUUAUAAGUUAGCCACCGUAGCGAGAAAACUAUUUAUUUUUCCAAUACCGUAGCAACAACACGGCUUCAUAUUGAGAUUAUAUUUUAUCAGGUGUUUCAUUACGAAAAAGAAAACAUUACAAACAUAUGAAAAUUUAUUUAUAGCCAUUCACGAAGGUCUUCGUACACCUUAUUCCUUCAUAUACCUUCGUAUACGAAGGCCAUUUUCAUUCACUGUAUGGUAUAGUGCUGGUUAUCUUAUCACGUAACCGAUAUGUUCAGAAAUUUAUUUAAAUUUAGCAAGAAAAGAUAACGAAAAUUUUGUUUAAAUAAAAAUGACGCUUUUAUCAGAUUCGCUGAGGCUUUUACGAUUGACCGUAUACGGUAACCUUUCUUAUUUUUCUUAUGCUAACAAUAGGAAAAACAAUUUUAUCAUUAUUAGUAUGUUGCUGUAAUUGUGUCGAUGAAAUAGAAAAUGAUCAAUAACAAUUCAAUUGAUUUAACAAUCUAAUUUUCACAUUAUCGGCAUCGCCGUUAUGUCAGUGAAGUAGCAACAUCUAUUAAGUAUGAAUUGGUUACGUAGCCAAUAGCAAUGUAGCCAAUUUAAUAAUUUAAUAUCGACAAACAAUAGUCCUUUGAAGUAAUCACAAGCGGAAGCUUUGAUCGGAAGUUGUGGAAGUAGGGAAAGAAGAAGGAGGGCGAAAACGUAUUUGAAUGAUUGCGCUCGUUGUCGGUCUCCUUCGCUAAUUGAGCCAUUGUCUAGGUCCGGUUAGGCACGUCUAAAAGCCUAAUGGCCGUUUCCUAGAGACGCGCCAGUCCGAAUACAGAACGAAUUAGAAUAAUUCGUUCCGUCUGGCUGCGUCACUAGAUCGCGCAACGACGUUCGUCGCCGGUUAGACGAAACCUGUCUUCUCUUUUCCUCCAUUUGCUAAGAAUCAAUGGUUCUGCUUUAAUUUUUACUAACCUAACCUAUCCUUUUUUUAUUCCUUUUCUCAUCAAGUACACGGAGUUUUAAAAGGUUAUUCUGGGUGGAAUUUAGCUUAAACAUAACCUAGACUUGUCAAUUGCAAAGAAUCGGUGAUUAAUUUCGAUUAAAGCAAACCUAACCUAAACCUAAAGCAAUCAUAAUCGGAGGCUAAGCUCAAAUCUGAUGUAAAUUUAAUUCGAGUUUGUUCAAACUUAAUCCAAACUUGUCCUCUUUUUCUCUUGAAAUUGCAGAGAAUCGAUGGUUAAUUUUGACUAAAGCAAACCUAACCUAAAGCUAAAGCAAUCAUAAUCCAAACCUAAGCUCAAAGCUGAUGUAGACCUAAUUGAAAUUUGUUCUCUUGCUACUCUGGUUGCUAAGAAUCAGUGCUUCCGCUUUAAUUUCGACGCUUAACCUCCAUUUCGCCGGCGUGCACCACGUGUAUUACGUAUUUUUUGUAAACAUAACUUUUAUCCGGCCACGCGGAUGUUUUCCAUUAAAACGAAUCGCAUAGCGAAAACUUUUUAUUGUUCGCCGGUUCUUCCUGUUUCGACGUAUUCGAACGUAUU